rnacentral:snoRNA from 1 species
CAAAAAACAAAAAAACCGCAGCUUCCUUGGUAGUAUAUGCAGCCUGUUUGUUGUAUGGGUUGCUCUAAGGGACCUUGGAGACAGGC